ensembl:lncRNA
CACGGGGGGGGGAAAUCCGAUCCCGGUGGGAGCUCAGUCCCUCCCGGCGGGAUCACCAAAUCCCAUCGCACUGCGCUGCCCCCACGGAACACACCCCCAUAUCCCCCGGGAGGGAACCCCGGCGCUGCGGGGGGGUCACGGGGCGGGGUCCUUCUCGGCACUCUCGGGGUGAGCUCCAUCCCCCCCCCCCGCUUCCUGCUGCUCCGUGCAGCGGUUGCUCCCCAUCCCCCCCCCCCCCCCCGGAGCUUUUCCUCCUCCCCGGGAGCUCCCCGCGGGCCGCCGCCUCGUGCCCCGGUUUCCCCGGAAUGAGACUCCUCCCGGAGCGCUUUUGGAGCCGCGGGGCCGUCGCUGUGGCACCGGGCGGGGCGGGGAACCGUUCCAGCUCCGGUGUGGGCCGGGCUGUGCCGAUACGGAACGUCCCGGGGGUCGGCGGAGAGCCCGGAGCUGUGCAGCUGUGGGCUGUGCCGGGGGUGGAGGGGGGCAGCAGCGGGCACGGCGUCCCCACAUCCUCCCAUCCCCUGCCUCGCGUCCCCGCCGCAGCCCCACAUCCCCACAUCCCCAUUCUCCCGUGCUCGCAUCUCCCCACAUCCUCAUGCCCGAAUUCCCGUCUCCCACAUCCCCACAUCCCCGUGCCGUCGUGUCCACGGGCCCCCACCUUUCCCCGCCCCCCCGAGUCCUCACAUCCCCGUGUUCCUACGUCUCCAGGUCCCCAAAACAUCCCCGUAUCCCCCCCUCCUCCCAUCCCCACGGCCCCGCCCCGUGUCCCGCUGCACCCGCGGUGCCCUCGCGGGGGGGUGGGGGUGGGGGGGGCUCUCCUUCCCGGUGCUGCAUUACCGCCCGGGGCCGGUAGGGGGCGCCGCUGUCCCCCCCCGGGGCAGAUAAAGGCGGCGGCGGCGGCGGCGGAGGCGGCAGAACGGCACCGGCAGCACCGGGGCAGCACCGGGCGGGACGGCGGGGCUGGGGGGGCCAUGGCGCGGCUGCUGCUGUGCUGUGCUGCCCUGCUGGCGGCAGGGACGGUCCAUGGCGAGGGGUCAACACCAUCGCAGCCCCGGCCCGGCUCAUCCGAAGCUGUCACCACGUGGGCACACAGCACUUCUUCACGCAGCUCAGGGACAGCCGAACCACAGACAUCGUCAUGGGACACAACUCGCGGCAGAGAGAGCUCAGCAGCACCUCUGUCUCCACCGCACACCUCUGCAACACCGUCUUCAACUGCGACCCCAAACGCUGCAACAGCUGAGCCUCCAUCCGGCCCUGCAGGAACGCCACCUCUGCCCACGGCGUCGAGCUCAGCGCCGCUGACCACAGCCCCAUCCAGCACCCCCCCCACAUCGGCUCCAUCCAACCUGACCACGGUGCCCAACCAUACGUGGUCCUCAGGCACGGCGCCCGCCCCGUCCUCCCCUGGGCGCCCCACUCCCACCCCCAGCUCUGCCGUGCCCACCGCCAGCUCCGCUCCUGGCACUGCCUCUGCCCUCAGCUCCAGCACUGCACGGCUGCUCGGGGCCGGCAGCCUGGCACAGCCCUCCUCCAAACCCAACCCCGGAGUGGUGGUGGUCGUCUGCCUCUUCGUGGCGGUGCUGGUGGGGGCCGUGGCCAUGCUGCUGGUGCGGCUGCGCUGCUGCGGGAAGCCCCGCUUCCAACGGCUGGAUGAGGUGCCCAUGGGCAAAGUGUCGGAGGAGUCCCACUUCGCCCGCCACCCCCCCAGGUGACCCCGCCGUGCCCAAUAAAGACGCUGCAGCCAUGGCUUUGGUUUCCCAUCUGCGCUGCACCCCCAUGGGUGUCAAAUGCCCGGGGGAGGGGAACCCCGAG